UAGAAAGCUAAGAAUAGGAGUAGUAAGAAUUUUGAAGCUUAUAGAGAGCCAAAGGUGGGUGGAAUUUGGCAGUGGAUUGUUCUGAACUUGCCUAGGAGCUGUUUACAGGGAGUAAACCGUAGAUCUACGUUAUAAGAUAAAUAAUCUUUAUGAUUAUUGUAAAGUGAACUUAUUUAAGUUAACUAGAGUGGUACCGCGAGAGUUAAACCUCGUCUCUAAA
rnacentral:ncRNA from 1 species